UACGUACCGUACGAACGUUAUUCGGAAUUACUGGGCUUAAAGGGUUUGUAGGCGGCCUUGUCAGUCAGGUGUGAAAUCCCUCGGCUCAACCGAGGAACAGCGCUUGAUACUGCAAGGCUUGAGGGAGACAGGGGUAAGCGGAACUGAUGGUGGAGCGGUGAAAUGCGUUGAUAUCAUCAGGAACACCGGUGGCGAAAGCGGCUUACUGGGUCUCUUCUGACGCUGAGGAACGAAAGCUAGGGUAGCGAACGGG
rnacentral:rRNA from 1 species